GAGUCUAACAUAUUUGCAAGUCAUUGGGAUUAUAUAAAUAAACCUAAUGGCAUAAUUAACUUAACUUAUGGAAUUUUUUUAAAAUUUCAAUAAUAUGGGAUUAGUUUUUUUUCAAACGUGUUUUUUAUUGAAUACGUUUAAAAUUAAUUCAAUCCCGGGGCGUUCUAUAUAGUUAUGUAUAAGAAUAUUUUAUAUUCUUUAUACCUCUAACUAGAGCGUACCUUGAGCAAAUAUGCUGUGACCCGAAAGAUGGUGAACUAUACUUGAUCAGGUUGAAGUCAGGGGAAACCCUGAUGGAAGACCGAAACAGUUCUGACGUGCAAAUCGAUUGUCAGAAUUGAGUAUAGGGGCGAAAGACCAAUCGAACCAUCUAGUAGCUGGUUCCCUCCGAAGUUUCCCUCAGGAUAGCUGGUGCAUUUCAAAUAUUAUAUAAAAUAGUCUUAUCUGGUAAAGCGAAUGAUUAGAGGCCUUAGGGUCGAAACGACCUUAACCUAUUCUCAAACUUUAAAUGGGUAAGAACCUUAACUUUCUUGAUAUGAAGUUUAAGGUUAUGAUAUAAUGUGCCCAGUGGGCCAUUUUUGGUAAGCAGAACUGGCGCUGUGGGAUGAACCAAACGUAAUGUUACGGUGCCCAAAUUAACAACUCAUACAGAAACCAUGAAAGGCGUUGGUUGCUUAAAACAGCAGGACGGUGGACAUGGAAGUCGUAAUCCGCUAAGGAGUGUGUAACAACUCACCUGCCGAAGCAACUAGCCCUUAAAAUGGAUGGCGCUUAAGUUGUAUACCUAUACAUUACCGCUAAAGUAAAUGAUUUAUAUAAUUUAUUUAUAUAAAUUUUGAAACUUUAGUGAGUAGGAGGGUACAAUGGUGUGCAUAGAAGUGUUUGGCGUAAGCCUGCAUGGAGCCGCCAUUGGCACAGAUCUUGGUGGUAGUAGCAAAUAAUCGAAUGAGACCUUGGAGGACUGAAGUGGAGAAGGGUUUCGUGUGAACAGUGGUUGAUCACGAGUUAUUCGGUCCUAAGUUCAAGGCGAAAGCUGAAAAUUUUCUAGUUAUAUAUAAUAAUAAUAAUAAAAAAAUAAACAUAUAUAUAAUACACUUGAUUAAUAUAGAAAGAAAGGGAAAACGGAUCCAAUUCCGUAACCUGUUGAGUAUCCGUUUGUUAUUAAAUAAAAACAAUGUGCUCAUCCUGGUAACAGGAACGACCAUAAAGAAGCCGUCGAGAGGUAUCGGAAGAGUUUUCUUUUCUGUUUUAUAGUCGUACUACCAUGGAAGUCUUUCGAAGAGAGAUAUGGUAGAUGGACUAGAAGAGCAUGACAUUUACUGUUGUGUCGAUAUUUUCUCCUCGGACCUUGAAAAUUUAUGGUGGGGUCACGCAAACUUCUCAACAGGCCRUACCAAUAUCCGCAGCUGGUCUCCAAGGUGAAGAGUCUCUAGUCGAUAGAAUAAUGUAGGUAAGGGAAGUCGGCAAAUUAGAUCCGUAACUUCGGGAUAAGGAUUGGCUCUGAAGAUUGAGAUAAUCGGGCUUGAUUGGGAAGCAAUAACAUGGUUUAUAUGCUCGUUCUGGGUAAAUAGAAAUUUUUCGGAAUUUUGUUCCCCGGAUAGUUAGUUAUGUAGCCAAUUGUGGAACUUUCUUGCUAAAAUUUUAAAAAUUAUUUACCAGCAAUGGUAUAUUAAUUUUUUUAAUUAUAACGAUUAUCAAUUAACAAUCAAUUCAGAACUGGCACGGACUUGGGGAAUCCGACUGUCUAAUUAAAACAAAGCAUUGUGAUGGCCCUAGCGGGUGUUGACACAAUGUGAUUUCUGCCCAGUGCUCUGAAUGUCAAAGUGAAGAAAUUCAAGUAAGCGCGGGUCAACGGCGGGAGUAACUAUGACUCUCUUAAGGUAGCCAAAUGCCUCGUCAUCUAAUUAGUGACGCGCAUGAAUGGAUUAACGAGAUUCCUACUGUCCCUAUCUACUAUCUAGCGAAACCACAGCCAAGGGAACGGGCUUGGAAAAAUUAGCGGGGAAAGAAGACCCUUUUGAGCUUGACUCUAAUCUGGCAAUGUAAGGAGACAUAAGAGGUGUAGAAUAAGUGGGAGAUAUUGAAAUUUUAUUUCAUUAUCGACAAUGAAAUACCACUACUCUUAUUGUUUCCUUACUUACUUGAUUAAAUGGAACGUGUAUCAUUUCUUAGCCAUUAUACGGAUAUAUUUUAUAUAUAUCUUAUGGUAUUGGGUUUUGAUGCAAGCUUCUUGAUCAAAGUAUCACGAGUUUGUUAUAUAAUCGUAAACAAAUUUCGAUGAAAUUAAUUUACAUUUUACGAUGUUUAUUAAUUAUAAUUAAAAUUUGGUAUAACUCCAAUCACUCAGGUAUGAUCCAAUUCAAGGACAUUGCCAGGUAGGGAGUUUGACUGGGGCGGUACAUCUCUCAAAUAAUAACGGAGGUGUCCCAAGGCCAGCUCAGUGCGGACAGAAACCACACAUAGAGCAAAAGGGCAAAAGCUGACUUGAUCUCGGUGUUCAGUACACACAGGGACAGCAAAAGCUCGGCCUAUCGAUCCUUUUGGUUUAAAGAGUUUUUAACAAGAGGUGUCAGAAAAGUUACCAUAGGGAUAACUGGCUUGUGGCAGCCAAGCGUUCAUAGCGACGUUGCUUUUUGAUCCUUCGAUGUCGGCUCUUCCUAUCAUUGUGAAGCAAAAUUCACCAAGCGUUGGAUUGUUCACCCAUGCAAGGGAACGUGAGCUGGGUUUAGACCGUCGUGAGACAGGUUAGUUUUACCCUACUAAUGACAAAAACGUUGUUGCGACAGCAUUCCUGCGUAGUACGAGAGGAACCGCAGGUACGGACCAAUGGCACAAUACUUGUUCGAGAGAACAGUGGUAUGACGCUACGUCCGUUGGAUUAUGCCUGAACGCCUCUAAGGUCGUAUCCGUGCUGGACUGCAAUGAUAAAUAUGGGGCACUUGAAUUGUAUGGCUUCAAACCAUUAAAAGUUUAUAAUUUAAUUUAUAAACGACAAUGGAUAUUUGUGAUGCCAAUGUUAUAUCUAACAUAGCAAAUCGAGAGGAUCACUGAUCACUUGAUGCCGCGCUAGUUAGUUAUUAAAACAUUAUUUAAUACAAUUACAAAGCCUAGAAUCAAUUGUAAUGGAAAUCCGUGGCAGGCAAGGUGUGAUAGCGUGGG
rnacentral:rRNA from 1 species